GUGGGGAAUAUUGGACAAUGGGCGAAAGCCUGAUCCAGCCAUGCCGCGUGUGUGAAGAAGGUCUUCGGAUUGUAAAGCACUUUAAGUUGGGAGGAAGGGCAGUAAGUUAAUACCUUGCUGUUUUGACGUUACCGACAGAAUAAGCACCGGCUAACUUCGUGCCAGCAGCCGCGGUAAUACGAAGGGUGCAAGCGUUAAUCGGAAUUACUGGGCGUAAAGCGCGCGUAGGUGGUUUUGUAAGUUGGAGGUGAAAUCCCCGGGCUCAACCUGGGAACUGCCUCCAAAACUGCAUGACUAGAGUACGGUAGAGGGUAGUGGAAUUUCCUGUGUAGCGGUGAAAUGCGUAGAUAUAGGAAGGAACACCAGUGGCGAAGGCGACUACCUGGACUGAUACUGACACUGAGGUGCGAAAGCAUGGGGAGCAAACAGGAUUAGAAACCCCAGUAGUCC
rnacentral:rRNA from 1 species